UACGUAGGGGGGCAAGCGUUUGUCCGGAUUUUAUUUGGGCGUAAAGAGCGUGUAGGCGGUUUUUUACAGGGUCCGCUGUGAAAACUCGAGGCUCAACCUCGAGCUGUCGGUGGAAACCAUAUGGCUAGAGUCCGGAAGAGGAGACUGGAAUUCCUGGUGUAGCGGUGAAAUGCGCAGAUAUCAGGAGGAACACCGGUGGCGAAGGCGGGUCUCUGGGCCGAUACUGACGCUGGAGGAGCGAAAGCGUGGGGAGCGAACAGG
rnacentral:rRNA from 1 species